UACGUAGGGGGCAAGCGUUGUCCGGAAUUAUUGGGCGUAAAGAGCGUGUAGGCGGUCCGGUAAGUCAGCUGUGAAAGUCAAGGGCUCAACCCUUGAAUGCCGGUUGAUACUGUCGGGCUAGAGUCCGGAAGAGGCGAGUGGAAUUCCCGGUGUAGCGGUGAAAUGCGUAGAUAUCGGGAGGAACAUCAGUGGCGAAGGCGGCUGUCUGGCCCAAUACUGACACUCAGGUGCGAAAGCGUGGGGAGCAAACAGG
rnacentral:rRNA from 1 species